GACGAACGCUGGCGGCGUGCUUAACACAUGCAAGUCGAACGGAAAGGCCCUGCUUUUGUGGGGUGCUCGAGUGGCGAACGGGUGAGUAACACGUGAGUAACCUGCCCUUGACUUUGGGAUAACUUCAGGAAACUGGGGCUAAUACCGGAUAGGAGCUCCUGCUGCAUGGUGGGGGUUGGAAAGUUUCGGCGGUUGGGGAUGGACUCGCGGCUUAUCAGCUUGUUGGUGGGGUAGUGGCUUACCAAGGCUUUGACGGGUAGCCGGCCUGAGAGGGUGACCGGCCACAUGGGGACUGAGAUACGGCCCAGACUCCUACGGGAGGCAGCAGUGGGGAAUAUUGCACAAUGGGCGGAAGCCUGAUGCAGCAACGCCGCGUGCGGGAUGACGGCCUUCGGGUUGUGAACCGCUUUCGCCUGUGACGAAGCGUGAGUGACGGUAAUGGGUAAAGAAGCACCGGCUAACUACGUG
rnacentral:rRNA from 1 species